CAUUUGCCCUGCGUUAGGGAUUGAUGCGGCAUCCUUUUUGUGCUAGCCUUAAGCUACAUUAAAUAAACAAUUGUUCUGUUUUGCCAAUAUAUUGUUUAGAAGUUCUACACUUUUUAGCACAAAUAAAGAUAUAGCGGAAAGCCCGACCCUUG
rnacentral:sRNA from 1 species